UGUAUUAAAAAACCCAAGAUACCUAUACACUCACCAUCUCAACCGUUCCCAUAAAAUAAGCGCACAAUUUAAAAUUGUGUGCUCAUUUCAAAUAGUCUCGCGUCGCUCGCGUCUCUGUGCGCUCGUUAAAAACGCCGAAGUGUUAAUUGAGAAAUUGUAAAAAUAUUACGUCAAGAUCGUUAAAAAAGGGUGGGAUAUCGUAUAUUCGCUAAUUUUCCCCGUAACCCAAUACGAUGCGGAGAAUGGACAUCAAUCGUCAGUCAACAAAGAUAUAUCAGAUGAUGUCGGUGAUACUGAAGUCUGUCGUACAGGUUCAAUUUAUUAUUUAGAAAAUAACAAGGAAUUCAAAUCUCUUACUACUUCUCUGAGUAUAGGCUUAAUUUUGCAUACACCUUGAAAAGUUCACAGAAAAAGUGAACUUCAUAAAUGCCGCAGAAGGCUAAUUAGCAAGGAGAAAGUCAUUAACAACUUAAUAAAGAAAAAUCUAGACUUGUUAAAAAGACCAUUUCACUUAAGAAUGCAUUAAAAGAUUUAGAGAAAAGAUUUAAAGAUUGAUGUACACAUGUCCUACCCAAAAACAUAUUUACGCUCAGAUAAAAGUAUAACUAUGAGUAUAGAACAUAAUUUAACUAACUCUUAAAAUACUAACUCAAUGUCUUAUAAUAAAAAAAAAACAUACAAA